ensembl:lncRNA
AUGUACAUGAAGGCAAGGUAAAGUGACUAGACAUCAGGAUAGAUAAUAAUAAGGUAUUUGAGGUAGAUAUGUACAUGAAGGCAAGGUAAAGUGACUAGACAUCAGGAUAGAUAAUAAUAAGGUAUUUGAGGUAGAUAUGUACAUGAAGGCAGGGUGAAGUGACUAGACAUUAGGAUAGAUAAUAAUGAGGUAUUUGAGGUAGAUAUGUACAUGAAGGCAGGGUGAAGUGACUAGACAUCAGGAUAGAUAAUAAUAAGGUAUUUGAGGUAGAUAUGUACAUGAAGGCAGGGUGAAGUGACUAGACAUUAG